rnacentral:misc_RNA from 1 species
CGCAAGGUAUGGCGACCGUCGGAUAUGAUGACGAGGCCGUGCCCGGACAAAGCUGGCACUUGGUCAAGGAUGGUAUUUUCGUAGACUGGCAAACGACCCGCGACACGGCGAAGCUCGUUGGAAAGUCAAAAUCUUACGGCUGCCUCCACGCCGACAGUUGGAGUAGCGUGCCGUUCCCGCGUAUGCCAAAUGUUUCGCUCACGCCAGCGAAGGAAAAUGUUACCCAAGACGACCUGAUCGCUGGCGUCGACAACGGCAUCCUGAUCUACGGGCGCGGCAGUUAUUCGAUCGAUCAGCAGCGUUACAACUUCCAGUUCGGAGGCCAGACCUUUUGGGAAAUUAAAGGCGGCAAGGUCGUCGGGAUGCUUCGCGACGUG